rnacentral:misc_RNA from 1 species
GCGCGAUGUCCAGUCGAUCUCCGUGCCCUCGCCGCGC